GUGUUUGUUCUGGCAGUACAUAUAUGAAAAUUGGAACAAAACGGAGAAGAUUAAAUGGCCCCUGAGCAAGGAUGACAUGCAAAUUCAUGAAAUGUUUCAUAUUUUC